UGAGGUCUCAACACUUAACGUGCAUCUGUCAAGCCAGCUGAUUGCACCGAUUGCACACAUACAAAUGCAAUCAUAUGCGUAGUACACAAAAAAUAAAAUCGCUCGCCUGUACAACACAGAUUUUAACGACUUUUUGGUUGUGUGUAUUGUGAUCCAAGCAAGCCUGCGAAAAAUUAUUUUUCUCAACGGCCAUUUUGCUGCAGUUUUGGAUGGUGGCAGUCUUUUCCACGAGAGCUGAAAAACUAAAUGGUGACAGCAAAUAACAACUACCCCCUUGGUCAGAAUAGCCGAUCAGAGAUGGAGGAGUAUCCGGAUGCCGAAAUUCAAGUGGUGCAUCAAAUUACUGUGGGAAGAAAUAGGAUCUGUGGUACCGGCUGCUGCUGCAAUGUUCGCGCCCAAGCGUUCUCUCGAAAUGAAAGGUUCUGCUACAACUGGAACAAAACCCAUCCAAAACCUUGGAAAAUUGACAGUGCAGCUGCUCAAUGGAGCCGUUUCCUCAUGCUUGAACAGUUAUUAAAACUCGUGGAGGAAGAAAUUAGGAUUGCACAAAGAUUAGGCAAAAUGUAAUAAUGUGUAAUACUGUGAUAUUAGAAGAGAAAAAAUUUAAAAUUCUGUUAUUUUUAAUGCCCAAAUAUACUCCAAUAAGAAGAAAAAUAAAAAUUGCAAAUAAUUUUUCAAA